rnacentral:snRNA from 1 species
AUACCUUUCUCGGCCUUUUGGCUAAGAUCAAGUGUAGUAUCUGUUCUUAUCAGUUUAAUAUCUGAUAUGUGGGUCAUCGACCCACUCGAUAUUAAUCUUAUUUUUUAUGGGGAAAGGUCCAUUACAAUAGCUUGCUAUUGGGGUCUUUGAGUGUCGCCUUGGCGUUGCACUACUGCCUUGGCCUGGCGCACCCCUC